GACGAACGCUGGCGGCGUGCCUAAUACAUGCAAGUCGAACGCAGUUGGGACGGGUGAGUAACACGUGGGUAACCUCCCCAUCAAAGUGGAUAACACUUGGAAACAGGUGCUAAACCGAUACUGCUGGAUGAACCCGCGGUGCAUUAGCUAGUUGGUGAGGUAACGGCUCACAAAGGCCACGAUGCAUAGCCGACCGGAGAGGGUGAUCGGCCACACUGGAACUGAGACAAGGCCCAGACUCCUACGGGAGGCAGCAGUAGGGAAUCUUCGGCAAUGGACGAAAGCCUGACCGAGCAACGCCGCGUGAGUGAAGAAGGUUUUCGGAUCGUAAAACUCUGUUGUUAGAGAAGCGGUAGCUAACCAGAAAGCCACGGCUAACUACGUGCCAGCCGCCGCGGUAAUAC
rnacentral:rRNA from 1 species